AAAAAAAAAAAAAAGAAAGAAAAAAGAAAACUUUACCUACUCCAGGAUCAUGAACCCAUUCUCCUAUUUUCUCAUUUAAGAGCUUCAUUGUUUUACCUGUCAUUAGAUCUGUAGUCUAUCUGAAGUUAAUUUUUUUAUGUGUGGUGUGAGGUGUACCGUCAGCCCUGUGCAGAAAUUGGGUUGAUCUAAUACUGUGGUUGAAAAGGUCGUUCUUUUCCUUCUCUGCUCUGGUACCUCCCUUGUCAUAAGUCAGGUGACCGUUAUGCGUGGCUCUGUUUCCAGGCUGUGUUAUAUUCUGUUGGCCAUUUUUGUAUCCUUGCACUGAUACCACAUUGUCUUUUAUUUAAUCUAGUUUAUUUUUUGGCUGAGCUCACAGCAUGCAGCAGUUCCUGGGCCAGGGGUAGAACCCAGGCCACAGCAGUGACCCUGGCUACAGUGUGGACAGUGUUGGAUCCUUAACGGCUAAUCCACCAGGGAACUCCCACACUGUCCGUACUAUUACAGUAGGUUUUGACGCUGGCAGUGUAGGUCCAUCAGCUUAUUGUUCUUGAGGCCUUGGCUGUUCUUGGCCUUUUGUAUUGCUAUGUGGAUUGUGGAGUCAGUUUGUCAAUUUCUGCAAAGAAAAAAAACCUGUUAUGAUUUUGUUUGGGUUUGCAUUGAGUUUAUAGAUCAGUUUGGGACAGCUGACAUUUAACUACAUGUAGUCUUCAGUUAAUGAAUGUGGUACAUCCUUCUGUUUAUUUAAGUCUUUGAAGUUACUUUUCUGUAAUAGUCUAUAGGUUUCCUUAUAUUGGUCUAUGUAUCGUCCAUUCAUUUUUUUCCCCCUCUAGAUAUUUAACAUGUUUUGGAUGUGAUAGUAAAUUAUACUACUAGAUUUAAGGGUCUUUUAUAAAAAAUAAAAUCAAUGAUUUCAAUGAAAUCUCUUAGUACUCAUCACUUCCAUCUUUUUUGUAUCUUUGCUACAAAAGCUUCCUUAUAAAUGAGUCAAGAAAAAAUUCUGUGUGUAGUGCUGUUUCUUUAAUCUCACCAGAAUCUUUUCAAAAUUGUAAUUAAAGCAGUUGCUGGAGUUCCCAUCGUGGCGCAGUGGUUAACGAAUCCGACUAGGAACCAUGAGGUUGCGGGUUCGGUCCCCGUCCUUGCUCAGUGGGUUAAUGAUCCGGUGUUGCCGUGAACUGUGGUGUAGGUUGCAGAUGCGGCUUGGAUCCCACGAUGCUGUGGCUCUGGCGUAGGCCGGUGGCUACAGCUCCGAUUCAACCCCUAGCCUGAGAACCUCCAUAUGCCGUGGGAGCGGCCCAAGAAAUA
rnacentral:lncRNA from 1 species